UAAAAACAAUGGCUAAGCUUUCAGAUAAGGUGAUUUCAACAAAUCUAGAUAUAUUUUGUCUGGUUUUUGUGGAAGCGUUUCCCAAAGAAAAUGAACAUCCCAAUUGUGUGCUAUGUAUUUAUUUUAUGCGGGCUGUGUUAUAGGACUAAAAGUGAAAAUCGGGUUAAGCCACCCGUUCCCAGUUCGUUCGACUUUAAGGAAGAAAAAGAGAAUGCGGAUACAUUUGAUUUAACUUUAAGUAAUCACAGUAACGCUACUACGACAAGAAGGAUAGAGAAAGAUUGUCGCGUAAACAUCAGAGAUUUGUCGCAAAGGAAACCUCUACUACGCAAUCCUGAGUCGAAAACAAUCCUUCUACCAGAUGCCGCUGGUUCGAGCAUUAUAACAAUACGAGCGGGCUGUUUCAUAGAAAUAGACUGUCCUGGUGCCGAUAUCCUAGUUGGAUCUUUGAAAUUGGGAGAAGUAACCGAGGCCCUGUGCAUCUCAGGAACGAAGUUCAGGGUGCAACAGAAACUAAUCCAGUUCGAAGAUAUUGUUUGUUCGAGAAGAAUUAACAGCAUAGCACGAUAUACGACCCACAAAUGUUUCGAAAGGGGACUAGAAAUUGAAAUUGGAUUCAAGUUUUCAGAUGGAAACUUCAUACGAGAGAUGACUACCUGUUUUGACGAGGACACUAGGGAAGUAUAUUAUUCUCUUUUCGAGUUAUCACACCAAAUCGGCGAUCAAAACACAGGCGGCACUAGACCAUCGUGGACGGAAGGGAAUUUCUAUAACUUGGACACGCGGCUUAAUAGCAUAUAUCCAAAUGCCGCGCAACGAUCAAUGAUUAACAGACAACUCGGGCUUUCUGAUAAUGACACCAAAUACGUCAAACCUACCGGAAAUUAUUACCUUGCAAGGGGACAUCUCACUGCGAGAUCAGACUUCAUUUACUACGCUCAACAGGAGGCCACUUUCCAUUAUAUCAAUUCGGUACCGCAAUGGCAAACGUUUAAUGGCUUCAACUGGUUUUACUUGGAAAGGAAUCUUAGGCAAUACGCCGCCAAUAAGGGACUUGACUUAAUAGUAAUGACAGGGGGUUACGGGGUUUCUGCUCUUCCGCACGAAAUAAAUGGGAACCCCGUCGCAUUGCACCUCUACGUAGACGACAACGGUAAUAAAGCGAUUCCAGUUCCGGAAUUGUUUUGGAAACUAGCUUAUAGCCCAUCGACUAAGGCUGGAAUAGCGCUGCUUGGCGUAAACAAUCCGUAUGAAGAAGACGUGUCGAAGAGCAUCAUUUGCGAUGAUAUUGCCGAUAAGGAUAAACAAAAAAUUGCGUUCUGGAGUAGCCUUGUUAGUAUUUAGAGUCCGUCUCAAUACAGGAGAGCCAAGUGACGUCAGAUGCGCAGAAGACGAAUUUCAAACGGCAAUCAGCUGUCAUUCGCCAUUGGCGUGGAUGAAAUCGUUCCGGUUAUUUACUUUUCGUGGCUGUCGUUUGUGGGUGUUUAUAUUUCGUUCAUUUUUAUAGACUAUUAUUUUCGUUUUGGUUGCAGUAUCUUGGUUAAGUGGACACACAUCUGAUAAAGGAUGGUUUGAUGACAGCGAGAAUGGAAAAAGAAGACCAAUCGCAAAAGGGCAACGGCUUAUCAUUGUACAUGCUGGUGGGGAAAGAGGUUUUAUUAAUAACGCUUUGCUGAUAUUUCGUUCUGGUAAGAUUAUUUUAUUAAAAACCCAAUUUGAACUAAUUUAAAACACAUUUUAGGUUCUAAGGGUGCUGAUUACCACCACGACAUUAACCAUGCGAAUUUUAUGCUGUAGGUGGAAACUAAGUUGCUUUCUAAUCUACCUCCUUGAUCUGUCCUAGUGAUAGACAAUACUCCUUAUCAUAAUGUGACAGUUGCAAAACAUAUAACUUCUGCAAAGAGCAAGCAGGAAAUGAAGCAAUGGCUCCAAGAAAAAAAACAUUCCUUUUGACGAAACAUUAUUGAAACCGGAAUUCUAUGAUUUAAUUUUAAAAAAUAAGUUUAAAUACCAAGGCAGAUAUAAACUCCAUGACGUAUUACCUUACCAUCCAGAUCUUAACCCCAUCGAGAAAAUUUUGGUAACUGUCAAAAACUAGGUAGCAAGCCAAAACAUUACUUUGAAAUUGCCUGACAUGGAAAAAAAUAUUUGAAAAAAAAGAAUUUUUUUCAAAUAUGCUUUGCAGUCGAAAGAAAAAUAGUGUACAUUAGUCAUGUAAAAGAAAGUUUUUAAACUCAAAGAAUUUAAGCACACAGCUUACGGCUCGUGCCAAAUACUUCUCGUUUCAAAAAUUUCAUUUCUUGUUAUGUAAUAUACCGUUAAUAUAAUAUGUAUCUUUCAUUGAGAAAGUUUAACUGGACUCGCAGGCUUCCAGGACUUUGCCUUGGAAAUUUGCUUACUGAUCAGUAAAAUUACACUUUCGGGACUUGUUACAAAAACUGUUAUUUUUUACUACUUCAGCUUCAUGAUUAUUUUGAGUAUUUGUUUUUCAGAAUGUGUUCUAUUUAUUGCUUAUAACUUUUAAUUGUUUAUUUUGAUUAAAUAUUGUUUACUUGUUAUUGAUGUACCUAACUUAAUUUCCCAUUCGAUUAAAUAAUUUAAUAUUUUUCCUGUCUUUCGUCAGUGAUAUACUACGCUGCUAAACUGGAAAAUCCCAUCCGACUUUUGGAAAGCUUGGGAGAACACAAUAUACGAAAAUAAUAAACGUUAUGGGAAUUAAAAAUUUGGUGAAAGCGCCAGGCAUUGAACAAUAAAAACACGUAAUUGAAAUAAGUGCCGCCACUGGCUCUCCUACACGAUAAAGAACGCAAUAACACGAGAAGGAUAAUAGGACGCUUAUUUCGCGCAACGAACAAUGACGUCACUGGCCUCUUCUCUAUUGAGACAGAUUCUAACCGAACAAUGACGUCACUGGCCUCUUCUCUAUUGAGACAGAUUCUAACCCACCUUCGAGACUUCUGAUUAAUUUUUAAAUAAUAAUAAUAAAUGGUUACUUUUUGCCGAUACCAAACCAUAUUUUAUUCAUUGUUUUCCGAUAAAAUCGUUGAGGAUUGUGUU